rnacentral:tRNA from 1 species
CGAAGGGUAGCUUAAACAAAGCAUUUCGCUUACACCGAAAAAAUAUCUGUUAAAACCCAGAUCCACUCGAG